GGCAAAGUAGCCCACGGCCCGCAGAGGAGGCCGGCCUAGUCUCUUCCCUCCUAAAUCUUACCUCUUUGAUGGCUAGCAAGCCUCUUAGGCCUUGUACAUCUUCCUGCAUCUUAGGAAUGACUGUUAAGAAGGUUCCACUGAUAUGGCUACUCGAGCUGUAAGAGAGGAAUCUAGACGGGGCGAAAGAAGAAACGGAGCUAAGACAAAUUGAUUCUGAUCAAAGCUCAAAUUUUAUUGUUGCGACACUAGUUAUGAAGGAAGGGGGAGGGGACCCGAUUCCCGCAGAAUAAUCUCUGGUCCAGUAGAAAGGGGGAGAGGAGAAUGGUCCAUCUACACAGCCACCCUCUGCUGCCUGGCUUGUUUGUUGAGCACAUUCCAAAGGCCAGGAGAGUAUAAUAUUCUUUCUUGAGAACACAUGGGACUUUAUAAAGAAUCAUCAAAUGGAAAUGUCAACUCAGAUAAUUUUUUCUCUGAGAUGAAUCAAAUAAAGGCCAUUAAGAAAAGC
rnacentral:lncRNA from 1 species